rnacentral:rRNA from 1 species
AAAACAUGUCUUUUUGAUUAUAAUUUAAAGUYUAAUCUGCUCCAUGAUUAAUUAAAUAGCUGCGGUAUUUUAACCGUACAAAGGUAGCAUAAUCAAUAGUUUUUUAAUUGAAAGCUGGUAUGAAAGAUUUGAUGAAAUAAAUAUUGUCUCAAAUUUAUUAGAAUUAGAAUUUUUUUUUUAGUAAAAAUACUAAAAUUAUUUUAAAAGACGAGAAGACCCUAUAGAUUUUAAUAAUUUAAAUUAAAUUUAAUUUUUAAUUAAAAAUUAUUUGAUUGGGGAAAUUAUUAAAUUUGUUAAAUUUUAAUUAUAAAAAACAAAAAUUAUUGAUUUUUUGAUCCUAAAUUUUAGAUUUUAAGAAUAAAAUACCUUAGGGAUAACAGCGUAAUUUUUUUGGAGAGAUCAUAUUAAUAAAAAAGUUUGCGACCUCGAUGUUGAAUUAAGAUAAAAUUUUAAUGAAGAAGUUAAAAAGUUUUAGUCUGUUCGACUAUUAAAAUCUUACGUGAU